UUGCUUCACUGUUUCAUUUACAAAUGAGCCAUGCUACACCGGCUAUUUAUGGUGUUGAUUAUUCUGAUGAUUAUAUUUGUUAUGGGAUUAGAAGCAAUUCAGUUAGAGUCCAGUUCAGAAAAGCGAAACUUUGAGUUUAGGAACUGCAAUACGACGGAAGUUCCAAUUUUCUUCAAAAACAUCGAUAUUUUGCCCGAUCCCUUGGUGAUUCUAACAGAGGAGUGGCUCUUAAACAUGACUUUCGAAAUCCUUGUGACUUAGUUAAUCACCAGAAUGGAGGUGAGUUUCAGUCUCACUCUGUGGACGGAAGAAGGGAAUACGGAACUCUGCUAUCUUCUUGGAGACCGUUGCUACGUACACGACGGAUGUAAAUACGUCAACGCCACCGCCCUUGCUACCGGCAUUCUUUGCCCAUUAUACCCGGGACCCUACAACAGACAUUUCCAUCUAAAAUUCAACCCGUUUCCGUUUAUUCUUUGAGGGAAGUACACAGUGCACAUGAGUCUACGAGAAGAAGGAAAACCAAUUGGAUGUUUGGAAUUCACCGUAUGUUUCAACAACUGUAACUACAAUGCCGACUAAAAUGGUCAAUAUAAAUAGGCAAUGACUGGUGGAAACAAUUCUACAAUAGUUCUUUAAACACACGAAUGUACAAAACAAGGAUCGUACCAGAAGCGAAACGUCCACGUGUUUAAAAAAUAAUUAUACUUCAGUUGCUAACUGAUGACAUUUUUACAACGCUUUGCAUUUUGAAAUGCAUAUCAUAAAGUAAUGAAAAUGAUCCAAACAUUUGUUAAUGUAUAACUUGUCCGUUGAUAUUGUUUUUAAUGAAUGUAAUCAUUAUUUCAAUAUAAUUGUUGUGUUGAAGGGACUCAUUUUAUCUACAUGUACUUUUAAGUAC